rnacentral:lncRNA from 1 species
AUGACAAGAUGCCCAGUUGUCAAGACCAACCAACAAUCUACAGAUGAAAGACUUCAUAAAAUGACUGUGUUCAGUCUUUUCUACAGAAUGACCAGGUUUCUGUCCUCUCAUCCUGGAAUAACAGACUGGUUGAAGUUGGAAGGAAGGCACCUCUGGAGGCCACCUGGUCCAAGCCCCAGCUCAAGCAGGGUGCCCAGCCCCACGUCCAGGCGGCUGUUGAAGCUCUCCAAGGAGGAGUCCCCCAAGGUCUGGGCAGCCUGUGCCAGGGCUCUGGUACCCGCCCGGCACAGAAGUUCUGCCUGAGGGGCAAGGGGAGCCACCUGUGUUCCAAUUUUUUGCCUCUUGUGAAUUAUUUUGCUGCAUGUCAUGCUUUUCCUUCCCAAGCCAAGGCCGUAACUGUAUUUGCAAUACACUGCUGAGUAGCAGACCCUUUCUUCUAACCUCAGUCCUUCUGGUGAUGCCCAUUUGCCCAGCAGGUUUGUCUAAACUGUGUGGUCAGUGCAAGAUCCUGUUGCCCUGGGCAUUUCAGCUCUGUGAACAAAACUGUUAGAAAUUUAGGAUUGUGGAAGUUUAACUUACUAAAAAGGCUUGUGGAGAAGGGUGUUGGGUCUGUGGAGUACAGCAACUGUGGUCACAGAAAAAUGUGUGGCUGUAGGAGAAGAAUCAAAAGAGGGCAGUCAGCUAACUGAAAUUUUGUUUUCCUGGGAACUGCUACGUUUCAGCUGAAUCACACAAUGAGCUGUGCCUGAAUUUACUUAUUAAUUUAUUUUAUUUCUGUGGUUGAAAUUAGCGAUGUUUUGAUCAUGAAUUUCAGUGGAUGCAGCUGGGAAGCUAUGAAGUUGUUCUGAUUUUCAUGCCUUUUUUAUUUUUCAGCCAAUUUCAGAGUAUCUCUGAAAGCAAAUGCCUUCAUAGAUUUUUUUUUCUCAACAUAUAAUAAAGGUGGUUAUGGGGAAAAGUAAAAAAUGCUA